ensembl:snRNA U6 U6 spliceosomal RNA
GUGCUCACUUCGGCAGCAAAUAUACUAAAAUUGGAACAAAACAGAGAAGAUUAGCAUGGCCCCUGCACAAGGACAACACGCAAAUUCGUGAAGCAUUCCAUAUUUUU